AGCAGACAGUCGCGUGAUUUUAUCAUGAGGAAAGUCCGGGCUUCGCAGGGCAAGGGUGCCAGAUAACGUCUGGCGUAGGUAACUAUAGGGAAAGUGCAACAGAAACAUUCCGCCGAAACAGUUAGGCUGUGGUAAGGUUGAAAUGGUGAGGUAAGAGCUCACCGGAGUUGUGGAGACACAGCUGCCGUGUAAACCCCACCCGAAGCAAGACCAAAUAGGGAACAAGGGAAGCUGCCCGUUUCUCCCCGGGAAGGUAGGUCGCUAGAGCUUGAUGGUGACAUUAAGUCGAGAAAGAUGAUUGUCUAAUACAGAACCCGGCUUAUAGCUUUGCCCA
rnacentral:RNase_P_RNA from 1 species